UCACACCUGCCUUUUUUCCUCCCACUGGGCUCCUCUUAGUACCAGUGGGGAGCUCUGCUUGGUCCUGGGAGAACUCAGUAUGUUACAGGUAUCUCCAGAUGCAGCCAAGAGAUGAAUAUAGAACUUCUCUUCAGCCAGACAGACCCACAGGGAAGCAGCUUCUUGACCUCACCAGUGGUGUGGAAACUAAAAAAAUACAAAACAUUUUCAGCAUUAGGAAACUUGGGGUCUUGCUGGCAAAUACGCAUCUUAAAUUAGAGAUUUCAUCUAGAUGCUUAAUGCUCCUUAGACUUGGCC